GACGAACGCUGGCGGCAUGCCUAAUACAUGCAAGUCGAACGAGAUCUUCGGAUCUAGUGGCGCACGGGUGCGUAACGCGUGGGAAUCUGCCCUUGGGUUCGGAAUAACUUCGGGAAACUGAAGCUAAUACCGGAUGAUGACGUAAGUCCAAAGAUUUAUCGCCCAAGGAUGAGCCCGCGUAGGAUUAGCUAGUUGGUAAGGUAAAGGCUUACCAAGGCGACGAUCCUUAGCUGGUCUGAGAGGAUGAUCAGCCACACUGGGACUGAGACACGGCCCAGACUCCUACGGGAGGCAGCAGUAGGGAAUAUUGGACAAUGGGGGCAACCCUGACCCAGCAAUGCCGCGUGAGUGAUGAAGGCCUUAGGGUUGUAAAGCUCUUUUACCCGGGAUGAUAAUGACAGUACCGGGAGAAUAAGCCCCGGCUAACUCCGUGCCAGCCGCCGCCGUAA
rnacentral:rRNA from 1 species